rnacentral:rRNA from 1 species
AGAGUUUGAUCAUGGCUCAGGAUGAACGCUGGCGGCGUGCUUAACACAUGCAAGUCGAGCGAAGCGCUUAAGAAAGAUUCUUCGGAUGAUUUUUUAAGUGACUGAGCGGCGGACGGGUGAGUAACGCGUGGGUAACCUGCCUCAUACAGGGGGAUAACAGUUAGAAAUGACUGCUAAUACCGCAUAAGCGCACAGUGCUGCAUGGCACAGUGUGAAAAACUCCGGUGGUAUGAGAUGGACUCGCGUUGGAUUAGGCAGUUGGCGGGGUAACGGCCCACCAAACCGACGAUCCAUAGCCGGCCUGAGAGGGUGAACGGCCACAUUGGGACUGAGACACGGCCCAAACUCCUACGGGAGGCAGCAGUGGGGAAUAUUGCACAAUGGGGGAAACCCUGAUGCAGCGACGCCGCGUGAGUGAAGAAGUAAUUCGUUAUGUAAAGCUCUAUCAGCAGGGAAGAAAAUGAC